CCUACGGGUGGCAGCAGUGGGGAAUAUUGCACAAUGGGCGCAAGCCUGAUGCAGCCAUGCCGCGUGUGUGAAGAAGGCCUUCGGGUUGUAAAGCACUUUCAGCGGGGAGGAAGGCGUUAAGGUUAAUAACCUUGGCGAUUGACGUUACCCGCAGAAGAAGCACCGGCUAACUCCGUGCCAGCAGCCGCGGUAAUACGGAGGGUGCAAGCGUUAAUCGGAAUUACUGGGCGUAAAGCGCACGCAGGCGGUCUGUCAAGUCGGAUGUGAAAUCCCCGGGCUCAACCUGGGAACUGCAUUCGAAACUGGCAGGCUAGAGUCUUGUAGAGGGGGGUAGAAUUCCAGGUGUAGCGGUGAAAUGCGUAGAGAUCUGGAGGAAUACCGGUGGCGAAGGCGGCCCCCUGGACAAAGACUGACGCUCAGGUGCGAAAGCGUGGGGAGCAAACAGGAGUAGAUACCCCUGUAGUC
rnacentral:rRNA from 1 species